rnacentral:lncRNA from 1 species
CAUUGAAGAAUUCAAAAUUCCCAGUGAUUUAGGAGUAUAAAUGAUAUUGGAAGGAAUUCUAGGUAAAUAAUGUAUAAAGAUGCUCUGAACAAGGGGCUAGCCAGCCAGAAAGCAGGGAUGUGUCAGCCUUUCUAGUACUGGCUGAUUUGGUCAAGUAGAAUUUUGAAAUGUCAAAUGAUCCCAUAUUAUAUGUAGCUUUUUAUGAAAACCUACAAUCAAGGAUUUAUUAUAAAGAAAAC